rnacentral:rRNA from 1 species
AACGUAGGAGACAAACGUUAUCCGGAGUUACUGGGCGUAAAGGGCGUGUAGGUGGUUGCGUAAGUCUGGCGUGAAAUUUUUCGGCUUAACCGGGAAAGGUCGUCGGAUACUGCGUAGCUAGAGGACGGUAGAGGCGUGUGGAGUUCCGGGUGUAGUGGUGAAAUGCGUAGAGAUCCGGAGGAACACCAGUGGCGAAGGCGACACGCUGGGCCGUACCUGACACUGAUGCGCGACAGCAUGGGGAGCAAACAGG